rnacentral:lncRNA from 1 species
GCCAUGCCUGUUACGAGCCGUGAUAGCCAUUACGGGUGGUCGUAGCAGGCCCAUGUUUUUUGUAUGGAGAAUUUCUGACUCUUCGCCUUUUCCCAUUUUUUGUCCUUCUUUCGCUUGGAAUGCUUAUAUGACUUGAAGCAAAGGAAAUACAAUACCAAAGUAUAAAAGAUGGUAUAAUGAAAGGAAAGAGAAUUAAAACGGUAAAAGAUAAAUUAAAAACAACUAAUAAAAAAAAUAAAAACAACUUAUCAAACUCCCUCAAACUUAGAUCAUUUCUUGUCCUUAAGCAACAAAGCUUGCAUAGUGAAUUUUUGGAUCAAGAAAUUUACUUCAAUCAAAGAGAUUGUGAAAAUGAAGCAUGUCGGUACUCAUACGUGAGUUUUUGUUCUGAUUGGCUAGGCCAUGUUCUCUUGGUAGUCAUCCG